rnacentral:tRNA from 1 species
CGGGAUGUGGUGCACCGGUAGCACGCAUGGUUCGGGACCAUGAGGUACAGGGUUCAAUUCCCUGCAUCCCGACAA